rnacentral:rRNA from 1 species
GAUGAACGCUGACCGAAUGCUUAACACAUGCAAGUCUACUUGAACUUCGGUUUGGGUGGCGGACGGGUGAGUAACGCGUAAAGAACUUGCCUCACAGAUAGGGACAACAUUUGGAAACGAAUGCUAAUACCUGAUAUUAUGAUUUUAGGGCAUCCUAGAAUUAUGAAAGCUAUAUGCACUGUGAGAGAGCUUUGCGUCCCAUUAGCUAGUUGGAGAGGUAACGGCUCACCAAGGCGAUGAUGGGUAGCCGGCCUGAGAGGGUGAUCGGCCACAAGGGGACUGAGACACGGCCCUUACUCCUACGGGAGGCAGCAGUGGGGAAUAUUGGACAAUGGACCAAGAGUCUGAUCCAGCAAUUCUGUGUGCACGAUGAAGUUUUUCGGAAUGUAAAGUGCUUUCAGUUGGGAAGAAAAAAAUGACGGUACCAACAGAAGAAGUGACGGCUAAAUACGUG